rnacentral:miRNA from 1 species
AGGAUGACUCUGACAGCAGAGCCAGUGCCAUCAGUAGCUUGCGACCAUUCAUGGAUCAUGAAUGGUCGCAAGCUACUGAUGGCACUGGCUCUGCUGUCAGAGUCAUC